rnacentral:tRNA from 16 species
GGUGCGUUGGAGCGGUCCUCAGUCAGGUCUUCAAAGCCGUGGACCUGCAGC